rnacentral:rRNA from 1 species
UACGUAGGGUGCGAGCGUUGUCCGGAAUUAUUGGGCGUAAAGGGCUCGUAGGCGGUUUGUCGCGUCGGGAGUGAAAACCAGGUGCUUAACACCUGGCUUGCUUUCGAUACGGGCAGACUAGAGGUAUUCAGGGGAGAACGGAAUUCCUGGUGUAGCGGUGAAAUGCGCAGAUAUCAGGAGGAACACCGGUGGCGAAGGCGGGUCUCUGGGCCGUAACUGACGCUGAGGAGCGAAAGCGUGGGGAGCAAACAGG